rnacentral:rRNA from 1 species
AUGUCAGUGAAUUGUGUGCUUCUCUUUCAGUUACAGGGGGUUGGUGUGAUUGGAGCAUAUCAAGCUGAGCAUGAGCAUCCCUCCUUCAGGUUGGAAAUGAUUUUCUGGUGCGCACCAGAAAACUCUGGACCAAAUUGUCGAAUAUUUGAAAAUUCUUCUGCUGUCUCUUGUUACCUGACAUGGCAUUCGAUCACGCACGCCUGUUCUGCAUCGUUACACCCCAGCAGGUCUGAACCAUCUGUUCUACUGUCUCAAUUAGGCACCAAAUUAGACCUGCAACCAACAGUUUGUUGCAUUGAUAACACAAGUAGAGUCUCAGCAAUCAUCGGUUACUAG